rnacentral:rRNA from 1 species
GCAGCAGCCGCGGGAACACGGAGGGCGCGAGCGUUACCCGGAUUUACUGGGCGUAAAGGGCGUGUAGGCGGCCUGGGGCGUCCCAUGUGAAAGGCCACGGCUCAACCGUGGAGGAGCGUGGGAUACGCUCAGGCUAGAGGGUGGGAGAGGGUGGUGGAAUUCCCGGAGUAGCGGUGAAAUGCGCAGAUACCGGGAGGAACGCCGAUGGCGAAGGCAGCCACCUGGUCCACUUCUGACGCUGAGGCGCGAAAGCGUGGGGAGCAAACCGGAUUAGAUACCCGCGUAGUCCCUGUCUCUUAUAC